AACGAACGCUGGCGGCAGGCUUAAUACAUGCAAGUCGAACGCCCCUUUCGGGGGGAGUGGCAGACGGGUGAGUAACGCGUGGGAACGUGCCCAAAGGUAGGGAACAACUCCGGGAAACUGGAGCUAAUACCCUAUGUGCCCGAGAGGGGAAAGAUUUAUCGCCUUUGGAUCGGCCCGCGUUGGAUUAGCUAGUUGGUGGGGUAAAAGCCUACCAAGGCGACGAUCCAUAGCUGUUCUGAGAGGAAGAUCAGCUACACUGGGACUGAGACACGGCCCAGACUCCUACGGGAGGCAGCAGUAGGGAAUCUUGGACAAUGGGCGCAAGCCUGAUCCAGCCAUGCCGCGUGAGUGAUGAAGGCCUUAGGGUUGUAAAACUCUUUCGCAGGUGACGAUGAUGACGGUAACCUGAGAAGAAGCCCCGGCUAACUUCGUGCCAGCAGCCGCCGUAA
rnacentral:rRNA from 1 species